rnacentral:rRNA from 1 species
AUGUCCGUUCUAUUAAGAAGACCUCCCGGCCGUGAGGCUUAUCCAGGGGAUGUUUUUUAUUUGCAUUCACGCCUUUUAGAAAGACCUGGUAAAUUAAAUUCUCUUUUAGGCGAAGGAAGUAUGACCGCUUUCCCAAUAGUCGAGACUCAAUCUGGAGAUGUUUCUGCCUAUAUUCCUACUAAUGUAAUCUCCAUUACAGAUGGACAAAUAUUCUUAUCUGCGGAUCUAUUCAAUGCCGGAAUUCGACCCGCUAUUAAUGUGGGUAUUUCUGUUUCCAGAGUAGGAUCCGCGGCUCAAAUUAAAGCCAUGAAACAAGUAGCUGGAAAAUCAAAAUUGGAACUAGCGCAAUUCGCAGAGUUACAAGCCUUUGCACAAUUCGCCUCUGCUCUCGAUAAAACAAGUCAGAAUCAAUUGGCAAGGGGUCGUCGAUUAAGGGAAUUGCUUAAACAAUCCCAGGCAAAUCCUCUCCCAGUGGAAGAGCAGAUGGCUACUAUUUAUACCGGAACAAGAGGAUAUCUUGAUUUGUUAGAAAUUGAACAGGUAAAUAAAUUUCUGGAUGAGUUAUGUAAACAUCUAAAAGAUACUAAACCUCAAUUCCAAGAAAUUAUAUCUUCUAGCAAGACAUUCACCGAGCAAGCGGAAAUCCUUUUGAAGGAAGCUAUUCGCGAACAGCUGGAACGGUUUUCUCUUCAGUAA